GGUGUAUCUUAUGGAAAGCUGCUUCUGCCUCCUCUGCUAGUCCUCAAUUUGGGCUGGUGUCCAAAGCCAAACUCCGGAGUUAAGUCCUGCCUCCUCCCUUCUACAAAGAAGUGGUAGAUUAAAGAUACCACAAAUUCUUUGUGAAUCUUUCCAUGGAGGAAUGCUCAGUGUCAUGGUACAUUCUGCAGGAGUUGAGCCUACUUGUGAGAAGUACAGCUACAUCAAGAUAAGGUGCUGCUAUAACAAAUACCGAAAAAUAUGGAAGUGGCAUUGUAACAGAAGUAUUAUUUUAUAAACAAUGCAGUAAAUAGAAGAGGAUCACGCAUUCUGUAUAAUCUUCCCAUUGAGAAACUCUCAACGGAAUGCUUAUUUUGAGAGAAAUACCCUUCAUGCUGGAAAUCUACAUUGAGACGACCACACCAUAAAAAAACAAAGUGACACGGAGAGACCUGGAGAAUGAGACACCAGGCAAAAAGAGAGGCCAGAGAGUCUUAAAGAAUCAAAAAUAUGAAAGACAGAGCUAUCUUGGAAGUAGAGACUUCAUCCUUAGCUACGUCAGUAGAUGCCUGGUAGGUCAGUCAGAAACCAUGUAGAUGAGCCUUUCUAUGAAAUGCCAAGCAAAAUCAUGGGUUGAUUUAAGCCCUAAGUUUUGGGUAGUUUGUUAUGCAGCAAUAGAUAACAGAAACAACCCCUCCUUUCUCAGGCAACUAACAGUUAUCUGAAGCUAUACUCAUGAUCUGAUUUACACUUUUACAUGACAUAAUUCAUCUGUACUUUGUUCUUCUUUCUCAGAGAUCUAUUUUAUGAUUGUUCAAGGUUACUUAAGUCACCUUCCACUUAUACAAAUAUCUUUGGGACAUAAAGUUGGGAGAUAAUUUUUUAUAAUUUUAGCCAUUUUGCAAAUCUUCUGGGAAAAAGGGUAUUACAAGAAUUAUUGCAUAACAGAAAGCUUUAAAAGUUAUAAAUAGUGUCUCCCUAAAGAUAGACACCUGAGAAUAUGAUAAGCCAUAGAGCCCUACUUUUCUCUCCUUGGAAAUAUUUGCUUACAUUCCAGGGUAAUAAGGGUACUGACAGUUUUCUCUUCCCUAGAGGAGAUUUGCUGAAUAAGCAUUUCUCUUUCUCUGGAGAGGAGGAUGGGCAGAAGUGCUAGUUGCCUUAUAUAAACUGGGUCUGCUGACUUCAGAGUUCCUCUCCUGUGGCAAUACCCACUGCAUAUUCAGGGAAAU
rnacentral:lncRNA from 1 species